GUGAAUGUUCUAGAUCAACCAACACACUGACAGUGGUGAAUGUUCUAGACAUGCAUGAGAUUCACUCACUCAAUCACCCCAGCGCUUGGAGCUAGGCUAAUAAACAAGAGUUUGAGUCCGUUAAUAAAUAUCUGUAGAAUGUUCUGCUGUGAAAUAGAGUACACACACACACACACACACACACAGUGUGAAUGAUUAAAAAGGAGAAUAACAGGUGAAAGACAGAGCAAGCUCAUCUCUAAGUGGGAAGCUGAUCUGUAUAUCAACUGUUCUGUGUGGUGUGUCAGAAGCUUAAUUGACACAGGAGAGAAAAGCCUAAAUAAAGAAACAUCAUGACACAAUUCAUAUGGCCAGGUAAAACAUUUAUAAAUGAAUAAAAACCUUCCCUUUAUUUUCUGUUUCUUCCAGAUUUUUCCCCACAAAGUUUUUUUUUUUUUUUGCUUUUGUUUCAUGUUUUUCUUCUCUCUUAAAUUAUAUAAAAAUAUUUCAGACAUUCAUUUCGCAUGUGUUUCAUUCAGUCCUCUUGAUUAAUUCAUAUGCCCCUGUAUUUCUAAAGACCCAUUGGUUUAUACAUUAUUUACAGGUUAACUCAGUCCGUCUCCCGUUUCAGCCUUGGCGUUAGGACACCAGAACAUAUUUGCAUAGAUUCCAGGAGAGAUCUAUCUGUCGUUUCACAAUACAGGAACAAACAAAAAAAAGUGAGAGAGAGAACAGCUGACAGACAAUUUCCAGAAAUCUACAUUUAAAUCAAAAAUCGUUUGAAACUUAAAUCUUUAAAAAAAAUGACACACACACAAUACUAAUGAGAACCAUAAAUCCAUCCUCGUCAGCUCAUUGACUAGAUAAUCACAGUGAGUUGUUCAGCUCUCUUGUGGUAUCUUGUCAUUUGGAACAGUAACUACAUUCUCUCCAAACAUAGUUUGAAUGAUGAUAAGCAGUAAAUAUAAUAGGAAGUCGGGAAGUGACAUCAGAGGAUCUGCAUGGCAUUAUGUGGAGUGGCUGACUGGCAGUUUCAGAGAGAUGGCUGUAUGAGGGAGAGAGGUGCAUGACUGAGGAAGACUACUGCUGCCACACACACACACACACACACACACACACACACACACACACACACACAAAACCUGGAAAGAGCUGAACAGGCUCACAAAUCACCAAUCAACACAAUUGAAAUAGUUGCUUGAAUUUCUUAACAAUUUACAAUAAAAAGGAAAAUGCUAACAUGGUGACAACACCUGAUCCAGCUACUGGCUGUAGCCACCCUGAAACCCAGAUGUAUUUAACUCAACUGAGUUAGUUUAGGGUUUGUUGCAUGCAUAACGUAGAAUUACUUAUUGUAGGUUUGCGUUCUUGUGGAUGGGGGUUGCUUCAAGAGAACAGUGAACUGUCUAAUAAAGAACAGUGCAUCUAACUCACACAACCUUUAACAAGCAAUUAUUUCACAAGAAAAAUAUUCAUACAAGUUAAAAAAAAACAGACUUCGAGUGACUGAUUUGAUGUCUGAUCAAAAUGAAAUAGAUAACGGUUAAUAAGAGAUAAUCAUUUGGUCAUUGCCAGGGUACAGUUUGUGACCUCAAGGGGAGGGGGAUUUACCGACUGUAAAAUCCUUUUUUUCUUGCACAACGUAUUGAGACAAUAAAACCGAAUGAAAAGGGACACAUUGGAGGUGAACGAAACAGACAGAAUGAGAGGGUUUGGAUGGACAGCUGGAGGGACGGAUGGUGUUUUGGAAAACACUGCGGUAGUUUACUCCCUCCCUCUUCAACACAGAAACAGCUGGAUUCUCAGUCUAGCACAAGAUUACCCAGAACCUACUUGUGGAACUAGCGACUUCUCAUACAGAUUUUAUUGUUCAUAUUUUUAUUGAAUUACUGUAUAUUCUUUUUUUCCCCUCUUCAAACAUCUGGAUGUAGCUGUUCGAGAAACUUGGGGAAUAUCGUCAAUUCUGGAGAUUCAAUUCUUGAGAGUUAUACAUGUCCAGAAUAAGAGUAACAGCACAGGAUAUUAAGGGAACCAUUGUAGCCAUGGCUUUCAUCAAACGUCAAAGUCAAGAGUCGUACCUGUCGACCAGAGUUUCCUGCAUAUCCAUUUUAAAUUCUGACAGAUGUUCUGGGGGGAAAAAAACUGGCAAAAACAGUUGUUUCACUGACAGAGCAGAGAGAAUGUUGAGCCAAGAUACUGACAAUAUAGAGGCAGGGUUAGAGAUGGACUUUCACAUACACACACUGACACACACACUUAAAAACAACCUCAAACCUUAGAUAAAAAAAUACAAACGGAAAUGAAAGUAAUUAAAGUGUCUUGGCAAAGCCUCAAACACCGUGUGGGCUAGCUUCUCAACACAACGCAUACAAAUCAAUAUUAGAUGCACGGAAACACUGACAUGGUUAAAGUUUCUACAGACUAGUUUCCCAGAGAGAAGAAAAAAAGGUGCCAUCUUUACUUGGUACCUCAAGAGACAAGAAUGACACCUUUUAGAUAUGUAUAUUACCUAUGUAAGGUUAAGUAUUACCGUUUAAGACUGCAUCAUGCUUAGUUAGGCUAGGUCCAAGGUUAUCAUUAGCCUGGGUACCAGUCUCUUAGUUAGGCUAGGUCCAAGGUUAUCAUUAGCCUGGGUACCAGUCUCUUAGUUAGGCUAGGUCCAAGGUUAUCAUUAGCCUGGGUACCAGUCUCUUAGUUAGGCUAGUUCCAAGGUUAUCAUUAGCCUGGGUACCAGUCUCUUAGUUAGGCUAGGUCCAAGGUUAUCAUUAGCCUGGGUACCAGUCUCUUAGUUAGGCUAGGUCCAAGGUUAUCAUUAGCCUGGGUACCAGUCUCUUAGUUAGGCUAGGUCCAAGGUUAUCAUUAGCCUGGGUACCAGUCUCUUAGUUAACCUUGGAACUAGCCUUUCAUUAGCCUGGGUACCAGUCUCUUAGUUAGGCUAGUUCCAAGGUUAUCAUUAGCCUGAGUACCAGCCUCUAGAGAAUCCACUCCCUAUACACAAAUCAAAUCAACAUAUUAAUUGUCACGUACAUGUUGUCAUGUGCCAAAUAUGGUAAUGGCAAGGAGUAGAAUGUUAGCUAAGAGACUGGUACUCAGACUAGGUUAUUAUGACAGUUCUAUGUUCCAUUAUAGAACAGUUGGGGUGAAUGUUCUUUGGAUUCCAUGUUCCUAGCCUAGGUGAUAGAUCUACAGUAUCUUUUCCUUGAAGUAUCUUUCCCCCAACAGGAAGAAUGCCUUUCAGUAUAGAUAGUCAGCGUAAACUGAUAAUGGCCCUUUGGACUGGGACCCUAUUCUCCCAGGGUUUCGAGAGCCCAAAACAAAACUGUGUAGCCUAUUUCACACAACAACAGAUUUGAUGGACGGAUCGUCAAUUCGGUUAAUUGCAAACAGGAAACUAAAUGUGAUAAAUGUAGUCACAUUAAAACAAAUGUAAAGCUUUUAGAGGAACCAAUAUCUCCAGAGGAAAACCAGCACGAGAGAAGAGAGGUUGAAAGCAACGAGCACGAGGUUUUCUCCCAGUCUCAGACUACCGAUGAAACUUCCCAUCCUCCGUCCCACACUGAACCAUCAGAGAGGUAGACUCUACAAAGCAGGAUCAAUGAGUUAGCCAGCUAACUUUGACAAGCAACCAGAGGGGUAGACUCUACAAAGCAGGAUCAAUGAGUUAGCCAGCUAACUUUGACAAGCAACCAGAGGGGUAGACUCUACAAAGCAGGAUCAAUGAGUUAGCCAGCUAACUUUGACAAGCAACCAGAGGGGUAGACUCUACAAAGCAGGAUCAAUGAUUUAGCCAGCUAACUUUGACAAGCAACGAGAGGGGUAGACUCUACAAAGCAGGAUCAAUGAGUUAGCCAGCUAACUUUGACAAGCAACCAGAGGGGUAGACUCUACAAAGCAUGAUCAAUGAGUUAGCCAGCUAACUUUGACAAGCAACCAGAGGGGUAGACUCUACAAAGCAUGAUCAAUGAGUUAGCCAGCUAACUUUGACAAGAAACCAGAGGGGUAGACUCUACAAAGCAGGAUGAAUGAGUUAGCCAGCUAACUUUGACAAGCAACCAGAGGGGUAGACACUACAAAGCAUGAUCAAUGAGUUAGCCAGCUAACUUUGACAAGCAACCAGAGAGGUAGACUCUACAAAGCAGGAUGAAUGAGUUAGCCAGCUAACUUUGACAAGCAACCAGAGGGGUAGACUCUACAAAGCAGGAUCAAUGAGUUAGCCAGCUAACUUUGACAAGCAACCAGAGGGGUAGACUCUACAAAGCAUGAUCAAUGAGUUAGCCAGCUAACUUUGACAAGCAACCAGAGGGGUAGACUCUACAAAGCAUGAUCAAUGAGUUAGCCAGCUAACUUUGACAAGCAACCAGAGGGGUAGACACUACAAAGCAGGAUCAAUGAGUUAGCCAGGCCUAAAGCACUGCAGUGUUUUUUAUACAACAGAACAGAAACACAGCCUUUCCGAUGGCAACACCUUGUGCAUGACCAAAUAGACUGGCAACACCUUGUGCAUGACCAAAUAGACUGGCAACACCUUGUGCAUGACCAAAUAGACUGGCAACACCUUGUGCAUGACCAAAUAGACUGGCAACACCUUGUGCAUGACCAAAUAGACUGGCAACACCGGGUGCAUGACCAAAUAGACUGGCAACACCUUGUGCAUGACCAAAUAGACUGGCAACACCUUGUGCAUGACCAAAUAGACUGGCAACACCGGGUGCAUGACCAAAUAGACUGGCAACACCGGGUGCAUGACCAAAUAGACUGGCAACACCGGGUGCAUGACCAAAU
ensembl:lncRNA